AACGCUAGCUACAGGCUUAACACAUGCAAGUCGAGGGGAAACGACAUUGAAAGCUUGCUUUUGAUGGGCGUCGACCGGCGCACGGGUGAGUAACGCGUAUCCAACCUGCCCACCACUUGGGGAUAACCUUGCGAAAGUAAGACUAAUACCCAAUGACGUCUCUAGAAGACAUCUGAAGGAGAUUAAAGAUUUAUCGGUGAUGGAUGGGGAUGCGUCUGAUUAGCUUGUUGGCGGGGUAACGGCCCACCAAGGCGACGAUCAGUAGGGGUUCUGAGAGGAAGGUCCCCCACAUUGAAACUGAGACACGGUCCAAACUCCUACGGGAGGCAGCAGUGAGGAAUAUUGGUCAAUGGGCGAGAGCCUGAACCAGCCAAGUAGCGUGCAGGAUGACGGCCCUAUGGGUUGUAAACUGCUUUUAUAAGGGAAUAAAGUGAGUCUCGUGAGACUUUUUGCAUGUACCUUAUGAAUAAGGACCGACUAAUUCCGUGCCAGCAGCCGCGGUAAUACGGAAGGUUCGGGCGUUAUCCGGAUUUAUUGGGUUUAAAGGGAGCGUAGGCCGGAGAUUAAGCGUGUUGUGAAAUGUAGACGCUCAACGUCUGCACUGCAGCGCGAACUGGUUUCCUUGAGUACGCACAAAGUGGGCGGAAUUCGUGGUGUAGCGGUGAAAUGCUUAGAUAUCACGAAGAACUCCGAUUG
rnacentral:rRNA from 1 species